GCUGGCUCAGUGGUUAAGCGUUUGGCUGCUAUCCAAAAGACUGGCAGUUCAAAUCCAUCAGCA
rnacentral:tRNA from 1 species